CACGGUGGAUGCCCUGGCAGUCAGAGGCGAUGAAGGGCGUGCUAAUCUGCGAUAAGCGCCGGUAAGGUGAUAUGAACCGUUAUAACCGGCGAUACCCGAAUGGGGAAACCCAGUGUGACUCGUCACACUAUCAUUAACUGAAUCCAUAGGUUAAUGAGGCGAACCGGGGGAACUGAAACAUCUAAGUACCCCGAGGAAAAGAAAUCAACCGAGAUUCCCCCAGUAGCGGCGAGCGAACGGGGAGGAGCCCAGAGCCUGAAUCAGCAUGUGUGUUAGUGGAAGCGUCUGGAAAGGCGCGCGAUACAGGGUGACAGCCCCGUACACAAAAGCGCAUGUGCUGUGAGCUCGAUGAGUAGGGCGGGACACGUGGUAUCCUGUCUGAAUAUGGGGGGACCAUCCUCCAAGGCUAAAUACUCCUGACUGACCGAUAGUGAACCAGUACCGUGAGGGAAAGGCGAAAAGAACCCCGGCGAGGGGAGUGAAAAAGAACCUGAAACCGUGUACGUACAAGCAGUGGGAGCACCCUUUGGGUGUGACUGCGUACCUUUUGUAUAAUGGGUCAGCGACUUAUAUUCUGUAGCAAGGUUAACCGAAUAGGGGAGCCGGAGGGAAACCGAGUCUUAACCGGGCGUUAAGUUGCAGGGUAUAGACCCGAAACCCGGUGAUCUAGCCAUGGGCAGGUUGAAGGUUGGGUAACACUAACUGGAGGACCGAACCGACUAAUGUUGAAAAAUUAGCGGAUGACCUGUGGCUGGGGGUGAAAGGCCAAUCAAACCGGGAGAUAGCUGGUUCUCCCCGAAAGCUAUUUAGGUAGCGCCUCGUGAAUUCAUCUCCGGGGGUAGAGCACUGUUUCGGCUAGGGGGCCAUCCCGGCUUACCAACCCGAUGCAAACUGCGAAUACCGGAGAAUGUUAUCACGGGAGACACACGGCGGGUGCUAACGUCCGUCGUGAAGAGGGAAACAACCCAGACCGCCAGCUAAGGUCCCAAAGUCAUGGUUAAGUGGGAAACGAUGUGGGAAGGCCCAGACAGCCAGGAUGUUGGCUUAGAAGCAGCCAUCAUUUAAAGAAAGCGUAAUAGCUCACUGGUCGAGUCGGCCUGCGCGGAAGAUGUAACGGGGCUAAACCAUGCACCGAAGCUGCGGCAGCGACACUGUGUGUUGUUGGGUA
rnacentral:rRNA from 1 species